rnacentral:rRNA from 1 species
UACGUAGGGCGCAAGCGUUGUCCGGAAUUAUUGGGCGUAAAGAGCUCGUAGGCGGUUUGUCGCGUCUGGUGUGAAAACUCGAGGCUCAACCUCGAGCUUGCAUCGGGUACGGGCAGACUAGAGUGCGGUAGGGGAGACUGGAAUUCCUGGUGUAGCGGUGGAAUGCGCAGAUAUCAGGAGGAACACCGGUGGCGAAGGCGGGUCUCUGGGCCGAUAUUGACGCUGAGGAGCGAAAGCGUGGGGAGCGAACAGG